rnacentral:lncRNA from 1 species
ACAGAGCUACUUCUGUGUAUAUAUAAGUGACACUCAUAUAUUUGUUUCUGUGAAUUAGUGAUCUCUAGGAGUGGCAUUCCUUACGUUUUCUAGCUUUAAAAGUUACAGUGAACAGAUUGAGCACUUUCCUGAAUUCUUUUGCUUGAAUUUUGAGAACUGCAAUAGAAAUCUUUUCUUGUGCUAACCAUAUUAAAUGGUUGUCCGCUUUUUGUAUUUGUAUAGGCUGAGAGUUAAAUAAUUACAUUUUAGGAUGAUAUAUAAUAUAAAAAUAAAAUUCAAUAACAAUGGUGGAAAUCUAUGAAUUAUAAAAACUAGAAUAAUUUGUUUUCUUACUUUUUUGUGGGUGGAAAAGAUAAUUCUGGAAAUGAAUUACAUGUACGAAGUAAUUUUAAAUGAGAGAAACCGGAAAGCUGAUUUUUGGGAGUUAUCAAUUCAUUUGAAAGAAACUGGGUAUUAAGAAUUUGGGAAACAAUGGGUUAUUUAUCCAAAGAAAAAUAAUCUGGCUUUUUAUUUUGAGUUUAAUAACAGUACAGAAUUAUUUACUUAAUUUUUCAUGAAUUUUAAAUUAUUACAUGUAAUAGUAACUCCCACUAAUAUUUGGGGAACAUCUGAAAUUUGAAAGUUAACUUUAAAAAAUCUUUAGAACUAUCUAUAACUUGAAAAGCUUUUGUCAUACUUGGCUGAUUUAAACAAAGUUUUUAUUUUAGGUAAUUUAUAUGUUUCUAUUCUGUUUUUUUUUUUUUUUAAGAAAGCACAAAUAACUGGGACGUGCUAGAUAUAAUAAUUGUUAAUUUUUUGACACAAAAAGGAAUUCUGUAAUUUGUCCUAAGAAUUUUGACAGAUUUUCUUAAUUCUGCUAAUCUAACUAUUGAAAAUAGUUUGCAUAUGUUACAAUUACUAUAAUUUAAAAGAAAAGUAUUUUUAUUAUAGCAUGUCUGAGCUCAAAACUUAUUAAAAAAAAGAAUUGGUC